AAGCUCAGUGUUAAGGUUGAAGUAGUUGAGUAGCUGUAAUACUUGAGGAGCAACAUAGACGUCGUGAAGAGUACCGUACGAGACCGUUUUCCAGAAAUAGAUAGAUCAGACGUGGGUAGUAAACGGAAAAUUUAACAAUUUGCAAAUACAAGCCAUCGAACGGAUUAAAGCGAGUUGUUUAAGUUUGCGGAAAGUCACCACUUCUUGUUGUCGGUUACGGGAAC